CCCAGACUCCUACGGGAGGCAGCAGUGGGGAAUAUUGGACAAUGGGGGGAACCCUGAUCCAGCGACGCCGCGUGAGUGAAGAAGUAUUUCGGUAUGUAAAGCCCUAUCAGCAGGGAAGAAAGAAAUGACGGUACCUGACUAAGAAGCCCCGGCUAACUACGUGCCAGCAGCCGCGGUAAUACGUAGGGGGCAAGCGUUAUCCGGAUUUACUGGGUGUAAAGGGGGCGCAGACGGCAGCGCAAGCCAGGAGUGAAAGCCCGGGGCCCAACCCCGGGACUGCUCUUGGAACUGCGCGGCUGGAGUGCAGGAGGGGCAGGCGGAAUUCCUGGUGUAGCGGUGAAAUGCGUAGAUAUCAGGAGGAACACCGGUGGCGAAGGCGGCCUGCUGGACUGCGACUGGCGUUGAGGCCCGAAAGCGUGGGGAGCAAACAGGAUUAGAUACCCUUGUA
rnacentral:rRNA from 1 species